rnacentral:tRNA from 2 species
GUGGGUAUAGCGUAGUUGGUUAACGCGUCAGAUUGUGGUCCUGAAGAUCGAGAGUUCGAAUCUCUCUACCCACCCUA